AAGUCGUAACAAGGUCUCCGUUGGUGAACCAGCGGAGGGAUCAUUACCGAGUUUACAACUCCCAAACCCCUGUGAACAUACCUUAAUGUUGCCUCGGCGGAUCAGCCCGCGCCCCGUAAAACGGGACGGCCCGCCAGAGGACCCAAACUCUAAUGUUUCUUAUUGUAACUUCUGAGUAAAACAAACAAAUAAAUCAAAACUUUCAACAACGGAUCUCUUGGUUCUGGCAUCGAUGAAGAACGCAGCAAAAUGCGAUAAGUAAUGUGAAUUGCAGAAUUCAGUGAAUCAUCGAAUCUUUGAACGCACAUUGCGCCCGCUGGUAUUCCGGCGGGCAUGCCUGUUCGAGCGUCAUUUCAACCCUCAAGCCCCCGGGUUUGGUGUUGGGGAUCGGCUCUGCCUUCUGGCGGUGCCGCCCCCGAAAUACAUUGGCGGUCUCGCUGCAGCCUCCAUUGCGUAGUAGCUAACACCUCGCAACUGGAACGCGGCGCGGCCAUGCCGUAAAACCCCAACUUCUGAAUGUUGACCUCGGAUCAGGUAGGAAUACCCGCUGAACUUAAGCAUAUCAAUAAGCGGAGGAAAAGAAACCAACAGGGAUUGCCCUAGUAACGGCGAGUGAAGCGGCAACAGCUCAAAUUUGAAAUCUGGCUUUCGGGCCCGAGUUGUAAUUUGUAGAGGAUACUUUUGAUGCGGUGCCUUCCGAGUUCCCUGGAACGGGACGCCAUAGAGGGUGAGAGCCCCGUCUGGUUGGAUGCCAAAUCUCUGUAAAGUUCCUUCGACGAGUCGAGUAGUUUGGGAAUGCUGCUCUAAAUGGGAGGUAUAUGUCUUCUAAAGCUAAAUAUUGGCCAGAGACCGAUAGCGCACAAGUAGAGUGAUCGAAAGAUGAAAAGCACUUUGAAAAGAGAGUUAAAAAGUACGUGAAAUUGUUGAAAGGGAAGCGUUUAUGACCAGACUUGGACUUGGUUAAUCAUCUGGGGUUCUCCCCAGUGCACUUUUCCAGUUCAGGCCAGCAUCAGUUUUCGCCGGGGGAUAAAGGCUUCGGGAAUGUAGCUCUCUUCGGGGAGUGUUAUAGCCCGUUGUGUAAUACCCUGGUGGAGACUGAGGUUCGCGCUUCUGCAAGGAUGCUGGCGUAAUGGUCAUCAACGACC
rnacentral:rRNA from 1 species